ACGAACGCUGGCGGCGUGCCUAAUCCCUGCAAGUAGAACGCUGAAGGAGGAGCUUGCUUCUCUGGAUGAGUUGCGAACGGGUGAGUAACGCGUAGGUAACCUGCCUGGUAGCGGGGGAUAACUAUUGGAAACGAUAGCUAAUACCGCAUAAGAGUAGAUGUUGCAUGACAUUUGCUUAAAAGGUGCAAUUGCAUCACUACCAGAUGGACCUGCGUUGUAUUAGCUAGUUGGUGGGGUAACGGCUUACCAAGGCGACGAUACAUAGCCGACCUGAGAGGGUGAUCGGCCACACUGGGACUGAGACACGGCCCAGACUCCUACGGGAGGCAGCAGUAGGGAAUCUUCGGCAAUGGACGGAAGUCUGACCGAGCAACGCCGCGUGAGUGAAGAAGGUUUUCGGAUCGUAAAGCUCUGUUGUAAGAGAAGAACGAGUGUGAGAGUGGAAAGUUCACACUGUGACGGUAUCUUACCAGAAAGGGACGGCUAACUACGUG
rnacentral:rRNA from 1 species